AGUGAACGCUGGCGGUAGGCCUAACACAUGCAAGUCGAACGGCAGCACAGUAAGAGCUUGCUCUUACGGGUGGCGAGUGGCGGACGGGUGAGGAAUACAUCGGAAUCUACUUUUUCGUGGGGGAUAACGUAGGGAAACUUACGCUAAUACCGCAUACGACCUACGGGUGAAAGCAGGGGAUCUUCGGACCUUGCGCGAUUGAAUGAGCCGAUGUCGGAUUAGCUAGUUGGCGGGGUAAAGGCCCACCAAGGCGACGAUCCGUAGCUGGUCUGAGAGGAUGGUCCGCACCACUGACACGGACACAGGUCACAGACCCCUAGGGGAGGGCGCAGUGGGAAAUUUGGAACAAGGGGCGCAACCCGUACCCAGCCAUACCGGGGGGAGGAAAAAGGCCUGCGUGUUGUAAACCCUUUUUUUGGGAAAAAAAAAGCAGCGGUUUAACACCCCGCUGUCCUGAGGAACCCAAAAGAAAAAGCACGGGUUAAUUCCGU
rnacentral:rRNA from 1 species